UUGGAUGUUGGCCUAGUUCUGUGUGGAAGACUAGUGAUUUUGUUGUUUUUAGAUAACUAAAUUGACAACAAAUCACAGUCUGCCAUAUGGCACAGGCCAUGCCUCUACAG
ensembl:miRNA